rnacentral:lncRNA from 1 species
GCUUAGUGGAGUUAGCAGACAGCAUCACCACAUUGCUGUUCACACUGUAGGCGAUGCUGACAAUCAAUGCUGACAUGUGCAUUUUCCUUUUAGCCCUGUGCUUUAUUCACGUGUCUUCAAAUGAAGAGCCAUACUUUGAGAGGUCUUGUGAGCUGAAUUCAGAUGUUUGUGAGACGCACACACGCAGCGCUCCGCUUGGCUCCUCUGUGCUUCUCCCAUGCAACUUUGAAACAAGUAACCUCAACUGGGUGUCAUGGACCCACUCUCCAGGGGUGGAUCUGCUCCGUCUCACAUCUGCAGGUCGUAUUAAGUUCCUGGACCCCAGACAUGGUCGGGUGAAAGCCUUUCCAAUCCAGGGCUCACAGGGGAACUACUCCAUCUGCAUCGAUGAGCUUAACAACUCUGACCUGGGGUGUUAUCUCUGUAAGCAGGGAGAUGACUGCCUUCAAGUAGAGUUGGUUGUUGAAAGAGGUGCUCUGAGCAGAGAGAUGGUUUACAUCUGUGUCAGCGUGACUGCUUUCAUCCUGCUGAGCGUUGGUGGCUACUGCUGCAUGAAGUGCAUAUUGUGCUGUAAUAACUUAACACGGGACAAUACAAACAAUCCUGAAGGUGCAGGUACUGAGGGUGUUUCAUCUGAGGAAACAGGCAGAGUGCCAGUCGAUCAACAGCAGAGAGAAAAUGAUGACCAAGACCAAUCUCAGCUGCAGGAUGACCUCUCCAGAUACUAUGGCAAUACAGUGUCAGCAGUUCUUCCUGAUCCGGAUAUGACUCAACCCGCUCAAAGCGCCAGUGGGAUUUAUCCAAACUUGAACCAGUUUGAGGGGACGGAAAAUCUGGGAACAAAACAAAGUUUUCAUCGAGAACUCUUCAACAGAUUAAGGCAAGCAAGUAUCAACCGGCGUUAUUACGUUAACCGACGUGAAGUCAGCCAGGAACAAGCCAUGUCAACUCGGGCGGAGAAGCAUCGCAAAGGUUUCGGGAAGAAGAAAGCCAAAGAAAGUGAGUGCUGACUUCAUCAAAUACUAGGUGCGCUGAACUUCUCUUCCACUCCUGCGUUGUUUCCCUGUCAGAUGGUGAAUACAAAAACCCGAUUUACAACCGGAGCGUAGACCAGCUAAACCACCCUUAGAGAAUGAAGGAAACUUUAAACAGCUGUUGAAACAUUAUCAGUAUCAACAAUCCAAUGAUAGCUGUUGAUUAUACAUUUUACAUAUUAAACUUAUGUCUUACUGUAUUUGUUUGCUGUAUUAUUGUAUUUCCUGUGCAUCUAUUAGACAAUGAGAGACUGCUAAUCAGUCAAAUUAAUCAAAUAAAGAUCCUCACAUACAAGUCAAUAAGUAAUCUUUACAUUAUAUGUUGAAUGAGACAAACCUGUGUAUGCAAGAUGUAUUUUAUGCAGAUGUAUAUCAGCAAAACAGACCUUUUUGACCAAAUAAAUUCCUUUC